GAUGAACGCUGGCGGCGUGCCUAAUACAUGCAAGUCGAGCGAACAGACGAGGAGCUUGCUCCUCUGACGUUAGCGGCGGACGGGUGAGUAACACGUGGAUAACCUACCUAUAAGACUGGGAUAACUUCGGGAAACCGGAGCUAAUACCGGAUAAUAUAUUGAACCGCAUGGUUCAAUAGUGAAAGACGGUUUUGCUGUCACUUAUAGAUGGAUCCGCGCCGCAUUAGCUAGUUGGUAAGGUAACGGCUUACCAAGGCAACGAUGCGUAGCCGACCUGAGAGGGUGAUCGGCUACACUGGAACUGAGACACGGUCCAGACUCCUACGGGAGGCAGCAGUAGGGAAUCUUCCGCAAUGGGCGAAAGCCUGCCGGAGCAACGCCGCGUGAGUGAUGAAGGUCUUCGGAUCGUAAAACUCUGUUAUUAGGGAAGAACAAAUGUGUAAGUAACUAUGCACGUCUUGACGGUACCUAAUCAGAAAGCCACGGCUAACUACGUG
rnacentral:rRNA from 1 species